AUUGAACGCUGGCGGCAGGCCUAACACAUGCAAGUCGAGCGGAGCGACGGACGGGCGAGUCAUGCCUAGGAGUCUGACUGGUAGAUGGGGCUAACGUCAGGUAACGGGCGCUAAGACCGCACACGAUCUGAUGAGCCUAGUUCGGAUUAGCUAGUUGGUGGGGUAAAGGCCUACCAAGGCGACUAUCCGUAACUGGUCUGCGAGGAUGAUCAGUCACACUGGAACUGAGACACGGUCCAGACUCCUACGGGAGGCAGCAGUGGGGAAUAUUGGACAAUGGGCGAAAGCCUGAUCCAGCCAUGCCGCGUGUGUGAAGAAGGUCUUCGGAUUGUAAAGCACUUUUAGUUGGGAAGCGUUACCAAAUGAUAAAGCACCGGCUAACUUCGUGCCAGCAGCCGCGGUAAUAC
rnacentral:rRNA from 1 species